UUGGAUUUUCAGAUCUGAUUUAUGUGCUAUUAUCUAUGUGCUGCCAUCUAGAUGGCUUGAAACUAACUGACGGAAAACUUAUAAAAUAACUAUAUAGGUGUACAUAUUGUCUACCAUAACGUUUCUGUUAACAAUACUUCAAACCAUAGAACUAGGUUUCAUCAUAGACUUAUACAGUACUUCAGUGGGUUUCAUACUUCAGUGCUUCAAACCAGAGCCUGUCAAUCUGUCGUUUGAAUAUUGUCUUUCAAAGAAAAAUGAAAUGUCUCAAAUUAGAAAUAAACAUAACUACUUUAAUAUAAAGAUAAGCUUGCGCCCCCAUGCGAUGCUCCAUCACCGGGAAGACAGACCACGUUCUGGGUGCCCCAACAACUGGAACUCGACGUCCCCUACGGGAGUUGAGCGAGGACAUCACGUUCGCACCACUCACCCCACCUCCGCUGAAGACACAACGCCGGAUCAAUCUCGGAUAGAAUGAAUUAAUGGAAAAUUGUCAUUUGUAAAUUAAAUAAAUAAAAAAUAAUAAAUAUUUACUAACAA